UACAGAGGGGGCAAGCGUUAUUCGGAAUUAUUGGGCGUAAAGGGCGCGUAGGCGGCCAGGCAAGUGGAAGGUGAAAUCCCUCGGCUUAACCGAGGAACUGCCCUCCAAACUGCUUGGCUUGAGACCGGGAGAGGUGAGUGGAAUUCCCAGUGUAGCGGUGAAAUGCGUAGAUAUUGGGAGGAACACCAGUGGCGAAGGCGGCUCACUGAACCGGUACUGACGCUGAUGCGCGAAAGCGUGGGGAGCAAACGGG
rnacentral:rRNA from 1 species